UGCAAGUCGAGCGGACAGAUGGGAGCUUGCUCCCUGAUGUUAGCGGCGGACGGGUGAGUAACACGUGGGUAACCUGCCUGUAAGACUGGGAUAACUCCGGGAAACCGGGGCUAAUACCGGAUGGUUGUUUGAACCGCAUGGUUCAAACAUAAAAGGUGGCUUCGGCUACCACUUACAGAUGGACCCGCGGCGCAUUAGCUAGUUGGUGAGGUAACGGCUCACCAAGGCAACGAUGCGUAGCCGACCUGAGAGGGUGAUCGGCCACACUGGGACUGAGACACGGCCCAGACUCCUACGGGAGGCAGCAGUAGGGAAUCUUCCGCAAUGGACGAAAGUCUGACGGAGCAACGCCGCGUGAGUGAUGAAGGUUUUCGGAUCGUAAAGCUCUGUUGUUAGGGAAGAACAAGUACCGUUCGAAUAGGGCGGUACCUUGACGGUACCUAACCAGAAAGCCACGGCUAACUACGUGCCAGCAGCCGCGGUAAUACGUAGGUGGCAAGCGUUGUCCGGAAUUAUUGGGCGUAAAGGGCUCGCAGGCGGUUUCUUAAGUCUGAUGUGAAAGCCCCCGGCUCAACCGGGGAGGGUCAUUGGAAACUGGGGAACUUGAGUGCAAAAUANGAUAGUGGAAU
rnacentral:rRNA from 1 species